UAAUAAAUAUGAAAAAAGGAACUGCGUCAACAGUUCCCUUUUGACAGCACCGCUAAAGACGGUGGCAAUUAAACUAAAUAUUUCAAA
rfam:Enterococcus hirae ATCC 9790, complete genome.